UGCCAAUAUUUCUUUUUUAAUGGUUGAGUAAUUUUGUUGUGCCGAUUUCCAUACACCUGAGGUUGUUGGAUUCGCUAUAGUUAGGCAUGGCAAUUCUUUAGCUUUAGCUUUGAUUUUUAUAACAGCAGUUGUAUGCUCACUGCUCCAAUUAGCAGGGUUUUUCCGUAAUCUUGCAUAUAGAGGAAAUUUAUCAGCAAAGGAUAUAGCCCGUUCUAUAGGUAUUAUAGUACCUUU